ACCCCGGCUGAGACCGGCCCCGCGAGGCGCGCAGGGUCCUCACUUGUGGAAAGAAACGGGCUUGUCCUUGUCGUAGCGGUUCUUGCAGCCGUAGGCGGAGCAGGACUGCACCAUCCUUCCGGUCCUCAGGCACUUCACUUCUGCCGCCGCAGAAGGCAGGGGAAGCUGUUCUCAGUGUCGCUGCGCUCGGUUGGAUUCCCUCGCUUCUUUUGUAGCUUUGGCCAACAGUUACAGUGAUGGUGGCCUCCCUCGGGGGUGACUAGUGUGCCCGUUUUGUUGUUUGCAUUAGCAGAAGGACCACAGCCAUCGCCCGUCUCCCAUCUCCAAGAUGGCGGAGGCAGCUUCAACCUCACCUCUCGCGAGGGGUGCGUCCCACUGUCUCUGAUUAGCCCCGAGGUCAGAGGUAACGUUUCCUGGGAAGCUAACUAUUGGCUGAGGCCAGGUGUUUCCGGCGGUGGCUUCAGAGUUGCCGAAGUGGGCGGAGCCCUGAGCUUCCGGCAGGCAGGAAGGAACUGCUUGUGGGGGGAGGAGGCGCGGCGGGAGGCCGGAUUCCUGGGGCAUCCUCCAGCCCCGGGCUGUUCCCGUGGGUUAAUUGAUGCGGACCUUUUCUGGGGCAGCUUACAGUAGGGAACAACUAGGGCCUCUUGGAGAACAGGUGUAAAGCCGAGGUCGUUGGCUGAUUGCGCCCAUUUCUUUAAAAGGGCGGACACAGAUGGUGUAUGAUUAAUAAAAUUGUGGAACCUUUUCCCAGAGUGCUAAUCUUUAUCCCAUUACCUGUGUCUUCAGGUAUCACAAGUUUCUGUGAGAGCCAACGUGACAGAUUUUUAGCAAUGAAAAAAGACACACUCGCCAAAUCAUCUCAAUUGCCAACGCAGAAGCGUUUUAUAUAUAUGUAUGUAUAUGUAUGUAUAUAUGUGUGUAUGUAUAUAUGUGUGUGUGUAUGUAUAUAUAUAUAUAUAUAUGUAAUUUUUUAAAUAAAUAGAGGCGUUGUCUCCCCACGUUGCCCAGGUCAGUCUGGAACUCGAGCUCAAGGGAUCCUCCCAUCUCGACCUCCCCAUGGGUUGGGAUUACAGGAGUUGAGCCACCAGGCUGUCCCUCCCCAGAAGCUUUUCUGAAGGCUCUCCAUUGCUGUGAUUUCCAUGUGCUGUGUUGCAAAUAGCGAACUGCUGCAGCAAUUUUCACACCUGAGAGAGAAUAUGUUAGAGGGGUUCGAACUAGAGCGACUCUGUGUUGAGUGAGGGCUAGGAAAAUGAGGCUGGGACUUGCUGGGCUGCAUUCCCGGGAAGUUAGGUAUUCCUAGCCUCUAGAUGUGUAUACCAUUAAGGCAACAGAUUGAUAAUGUUUACUACACAGACCCAGACUACCAAGUGUCCAGAUAUCCCGAUAUUUUGAGAACAGAAGCAUUCCUAAUUUUGCUUUAAAGAUAAUAAUAUUGGGCUGGGCACAGUGCCUCACGCCUGUAAUCCCAGCACUUUGGAAGGCCGAGGCGGGCGGAUCACUUGAGGUCAGGAGUUCAAGACUAGCCUGGUCAACAUGGUGAAAACGUCUCUACUAAAAAUACAAAAAUUAACCGGGUGUGGUGGCACAUGCCCUCGAAUUUCAGCUACUCUGGAGGCUGAGGCAGGAUAAUCGCUUGAAUCCGGGAGGCGGGGGUUGCAGUGAGCCGUGCUUGCACCACUGCACUCCAGCCUGGGCGACAGAGUAAGACUCUGUCUCAUAAAUAAAGAUAAUAUCGAUUCUUACAUAAUAUAGUAAUUAAUCCUUUAUCACAAACCCUUGUAGCAAAGCACAUCUCCCCA
rnacentral:lncRNA from 10 species